GUUAAGGAAAUUGGAGCCAAUGAAUCAAUAAUCCCUGUACAUACGGAAAGGCCAGAUAAAAAGGAUCUUUGUAAUGUCCUACAGCCUACGCAACUGAAUAUAUAGUCUCCAGCAAUAUGCAAGCGACCCAAAUUAUACGAUAACUGACUUUGCCUAAAUCUUUUUUCAUAUUGCUGCUUAUCAUUGGCAAAAUUUGGAUAAGAAUUUAAGCCGUCAUAGACACCAUUUCUCGACCAGUUUGUGACCCAAGCAUCUAAUAAAUCAGCUGAGCUGUUUGAAUCAUUUUGAAAAUGAUCUACUAUUAGACUGUGUAAUUCUUGAAUUAAGUGGGAGGUCUCGUUAGAAGAAGAACUUGUCAUUUGUGGAUUGAUAUCCGCUACUAAUAU